GACGAACGCUGGCGGCGUGCUUAACACAUGCAAGUCGAACGGAAAGGCCCUGCUCUUGUGGGGUGCUCGAUUGCCGAACGGGGGAGUAACACGCGAGUAACCUGCCCCUGAAUUUCGGAUAACUUCAGGAAACUGGGGCUCAUACCCGAUAGGAGCUCCUGCUGCACGGUGGGGGAUGGAAAGUUUCGGCGGUUGGGGCUGGACUCGCGGCUUAUGCGCUUGUUGGUGGGGUAGGUGCUUACCAAGGCUGUGACGGGUAGCCGGCCUGAGAGGGUGACCGGCCACAUGGGGACUGAGAUACGGCCCAGAAUCCAACGGGAGGCAGCAGUGGGGAAUAUUGCACAACGGGCGGAAGUCUGAGGCAGCAACGCCGCGUGCGGGAUGACGGCCUUCGGGUGGUAAACCGCUUUCGCCUGUGACGAAGCGUGAGUGACGGUAAUGGGUAAAGAAGCACCGGCUAACUACGUG
rnacentral:rRNA from 1 species